GGAAACGGGGGCUAAUACCCCAUGUGCCAAAAGGUGAAAGAUUUAUUGCCUGAACAUGAGCUCGCGUCUGAUUAGCUAGUAGGUGUGGUAAGAGCGCACCUAGGCGACGAUCAGUAACUGGUCUGAUAGGAUGAUCAGCCACACUGGGACUGAUACACGGCCCACACUCCUACGGGAGGCAGCAGUGGGGAAUUUUCCGCAUUGGGCGAAAGCCUGACGGAUCAAUUCCGCGUGAGGGAGGAAGGCUCUUGGGUUGUAAACCUCUUUUCCCAGGGUAUAAAACAAUGACGGUGCCUGAGGAAUAAGCAUCCUAUAACUCCGUGCCAGCAUCCGUAGCCUAUACGGACAAUGCAAGCCUUAUCCGGAAUGAUUGGGCCUAAAUGCGUUCCAUGUGGCUCUGUGUCUCUCCUGUUUACCCGUGUGGGUCAACCUCCUCUAAGGACGGGGAACUACCUAUCUCUAGUGCGUCUGGGGCCCAAGGAAUUCCUCGUGUACGGCGAAAUCCGUUUAUAUCACGAAGAACUCCCGUGGGCAAACGCUCCGCUUUUCCGCCCCUGU
rnacentral:rRNA from 1 species